GCGGCCGGGAGGCGGCUUCGCGCCGCGGGCGGGAGGCUGCGGCGGGCGACCCGUCCUGGACACGCGAGGAAGAGCGAGCCGAUGGCGGCAGGGGCCGCGCUUCGACCCGGUGUGCCAUUUUGAAGACUGAGACCAUAGAGUUCUAAGAAUAAAGGAAAGAGCCCUUGGGAAAUUAUUAUAUAUAGCAAAAAUGUGAAUCCUCAGAUGGAAUGAAAGGCCUGCACCAUAGACAUCGAAGCAUUUACACCCCGCUUGAAGAGUUUGAAAUGGACUUUACCACUGAGAAAUCAAGAUGGCAGCCCAUUAUGGGGAAUUGAGGAAAAUGGAUUAAUGCAAGAAUGCUGUAAUAUUAUACAACCAACACAGGAUUCUUUUAAUGUGGAUUCCAUGAAAUGAAUGAUUCUUACCCAACACAAAUGGACAGUGGAAUUUACUUCCUAAAGACUUGUUACAUGUCAUGUACAUUUUUGACAUCUGGAGAAGACUCUACAAUUCUACAAAUGGUAGUUUGUAUUCCUGGAAUUUCUUGCAGUUUGAUCUGAAGUGACCUUAUGGAAUGUUAACUUUAAUAAAAUCUCUAAAACUUAAAA
ensembl:processed_transcript 1810026B05Rik RIKEN cDNA 1810026B05 gene